AGUGAACGCUGGCGGUAGGCCUAACACAUGCAAGUCGAACUGCAGCACAGGAGAGCUUGCUCUCUGGGUGGCGAGUGGCGGACGGGUGAGGAAUACAUCGGAAUCUACUUUUUCGUGGGGGAUAACGUAGGGAAACUUACGCUAAUACCGCAUACGACCUACGGGUGAAAGCAGGGGAUCUUCGGACCUUGCGCGAUUGAAUGAGCCGAUGUCGGAUUAGCUAGUUGGCGGGGUAAAGGCCCACCAAGGCGACGAUCCGUAGCUGGUCUGAGAGGAUGAUCAGCCACACUGAAGCUGAGACACGGACCAGACUCCUACGGGAGGCAGCAGUGGGGAAUAUUGGACAAUGGGCGCAAGCCUGAUCCAGCCAUACCGCGUGGGUGAAGAAGGCCUUCGGGUUGUAAAGCCCUUUUGUUGGGAAAGAAAUCCAGCUGGUUAAUACCCGGUUGGGAUGACGGUACCCAAAGAACAAGCACCGGCUAACUUCGUGCCAGCCGCCGCAGUAA
rnacentral:rRNA from 1 species